rnacentral:rRNA from 1 species
UACGCGAGAAACCUUACCAGGCCUUGACAUGUGCGGAUUAGCUGCGUGAAAGCGUAGUGACGGCUCUUCGGAGUUGGAACGUACACAGGUGUUGCAUGGCUGUCG